GGGGCUCCGUGGGCUUCUGAUAUUUUACUUUUAAUCUGCAAAGCACUUUGCACUUAAGAUUGAAAAUUGCUAUAUCAAUAAAGAUAGGUAUUAUCAUUAUUAUUAUAAAAUGUACUAACCUCUAGCUCAUCAUCAUCCACUGGACAACUUAGGUCAAAGUCUUCAGGGACCUUUAGGGAAAGACCAGCUGGUCUUUGAUAUAUGGUGACAAUCUCUUCAUCUUUGGGCUGAAACAUUAAGAGUAUUUUGUUAUUUUCAGUUGUUAAAAAAGUUAUGUAGCCUGACGUUAUAUUGUUUGGUCAGUUAGCUAGCAGACGUUAGGACAUUUCUGGGGAAAAAAGAUAUACAUACCGACAAAGAAUCAAAGUCGAUAGAUGGUAAAUGCGGUUUCACCUUCUCCACAAUUGAAUCCCAACACGACGAAUAAUGUAGGUCCAUUACUAGCGCUAAAUUAAAGGUUUUUUCCCUGUAACUUCACCGUGUAUGUGCCGCAGUCCAUUUUGAGGAGCCUUGGUUACCAUUGGCAACGGAAAGCUUCUCUGAGCAGCGCGUGUGCGCAGUGUGAGCCUUCAACAAUGUUGCCUUCAAGGGCUGUCAGAAAUAUCACGAUUUACUAACUCACGCCUCAUUAAAAGAAACAAAAAGAAACUUGUCUUAUUCUGCGUUAAAAUUAGGUCGUUUUACCGUGUUUUAAGAGGCCAUAUGAACUCCCCCUGCUUUUCGUAUUCAUGAUUUCGACAGGGGAAAUUUAUUGGAAGCUCAGAGUUUACGACUUUAUGUACACAACUUCCCACCUGGAAAACACGAGCUGACGAGUUGCGUUUGAAUGCAGCAACACACCUGACCAGGGAUUAGCAUAUAGCCAUCGUUGCUGUUGGUGUUCAUGAAAGAGUUGAAGAGACACAUGUCGAAUUCAGGUUACGUUCAGCAGUCUGCCCCAAAUAUAAUGUAACGUUACAGACAAUGAAUGCAUCUACCACAAGGAGCCAACUGUUUGACCAAGAGGUAAGUUUACAGUCAUUUUUAAACUCAUUUUUUUCUUUAAAACGUUACCAUUUUGCUAAUUCGUUAGAGACAAGUUAGUGGUGUACGGUACAGGUGGGACAAAUUAGCUAUUUCUUGGAAGUGGUAAAGUUUGUGAAGUACAUGGGACUUUUUAAUUUUUUCUUUUUUUUUUAGAGAAAGUGCACACACGCUUUAAAACAUUUAUUGCACUCUUGUGGCAAAUUUCCAACUGUGCAUUUUUAAAGUGACACACAUGAAUCUUUACUACAUAAGGUAUACACACAGCAAGUAACAUUAUAGUGUCUGGGCUGUACAGAUAUCUCUUGCUGCAUGUUAUUUUUACAAAACUGUUGUUUAACCAGCCCAGUCCUAUAAUGAUUAACUAAACUGUGAAUUGUACUUUAUGAGUCUGGCUUCCCCAACACUUAAUUCUGCAGGUAUCUACAAAUGAGACAAUUUCCAAACAAACAUGAGGAAACUAAGAAAUUAAACUCAUCAUCAGAGACAGAGCAGCACUUUGUUGCCUUUGGACUAAUAAACAAAUUAGAUUAAACAACAACAAAAAACACAACAAAACCAACUUACUAACCAAACAAACUAAAAGUAGAAUGUAGUAAAUGCCAUUUCAGUUUUGUGGCUUUUAGUUUUGCAUAAGGUUUAUGGGGCUUCCAAAAGUACACCUGUGUGGUCAUCGUAAAGUACAGGCCUGCUGCCCCAUAGUUUCUUCCUGGUUAUCACCAUUUUUAUUGUCCCCAAAUUGCAAACAUAACAAAGGAUGUGUGACUUUAUUGUUAUGUAAUUUUGAUACUUUCUGUGUUCAAGGGCGUGAAGGGAAGUUCAAGUGAUUUAUGGAACAUAAACAAUAAGCUUCAAAAUAUAUUACUUU